UACGUAGGGUGCAAGCGUUUGUCCGGAAUUAUUGGGCGUAAAGAGCUCGUAGGCGGUCUGUCGCGUCGGCUGUGAAAACCCGGGGCUCAACCCCGGGCCUGCAGUCGAUACGGGCAGACUAGAGUACGGUAGGGGCAGAGGGAAUUUCCGGUGGAGCGGUGAAAUGCGUAGAGAUCGGAAAGAACACCAACGGCGAAAGCACUCUGCUGGGCCGACACUGACACUGAGAGACGAAAGCUAGGGGGAGCGAAUGGG
rnacentral:rRNA from 1 species